UCAGAUGACGCGGCGGCAUGCUUACACAUGCAAGUCGAACGGCAGCACGGGUGCUUGCACUGGUGGCGAGUGGCGAACGGGUGAGUAAUACAUCGGAACAUGUCCUGUAGUGGGGGAUAGCCCGGCGAAAGCCGGAUUAAUACCGCAUACGAUCUAUGGAUGAAAGCGGGGGACUUCGGGCCUCGCGCUAUAGGGUUGGCCGAUGGCUGAUAGCUAGUUGGUGGGGUAAAGGCCUACCAAGGCGACGAUCAGUAGCUGGUCUGAGAGGACGACCAGCCACACUGGGACUGAGACACGGCCCAGACUCCUACGGGAGGCAGCAGUGGGGAAUUUUGGACAAUGGGCGAAAGCCUGAUCCAGCAAUGCCGCGUGUGUGAAGAAGGCCUUCGGGUUGUAAAGCACUUUUGUCCGGAAAGAAAUCCUUGGCUCUAAUACAGUCGGGGGAUGACGGUACCGGAAGAAUAAGCACCGGCUAACUACGUGCCAGCAGCCGCGGUAAUACGUAGGGUGCAAGCGUUAAUCGGAAUUACUGGGCGUAAAGCGUGCGCAGGCGGUUUGCUAAGACCGAUGUGAAAUCCCCGGGCUCAACCUGGGAACUGCAUUGGUGACUGGCAGGCUAGAGUAUGGCAGAGGGGGGUAGAAUUCCACGUGUAGCAGUGAAAUGCGUAGAGAUGUGGAGGAAUACCGAUGGCGAAGGCAGCCCCCUGGGCCAAUACUGACGCUCAUGCACGAAAGCGUGGGGAGCAAACAGGAUUAGAUACCCUGGUAGUCCACGCCCUAAACGAUGUCAACUAGUUGUUGGGGAUUCAUUUCCUUAGUAACGUAGCUAACGCGUGAAGUUGACCGCCUGGGGAGUACGGUCGCAAGAUUAAAACUCAAAGGAAUUGACGGGGACCCGCACAAGCGGUGGAUGAUGUGGAUUAAUUCGAUGCAACGCGAAAAACCUUACCUACCCUUGACAUGGUCGGAAUCCUGAAGAGAUUCGGGAGUGCUCGAAAGAGAACCGGCGC
rnacentral:rRNA from 1 species